GACCAUAUAUAAUGCCAUAUCAUCGUGAUUUGUUUGGAUGAUACAUACGUGAAAUAAUCGGAUUCGUGUAAAAAAUAAAAUAUUUUUAAAAUAUUAUACUUUGAACAUUUAAAACGCAUUAUCAGAAAAAAUAUACAAACAUUUUAGUUGACUAUUUCGUAUAUGGAAUUCAUCUUAUAUUGGGUGUAAUACAAAAUACUAUAGGAGGAUUUUUAAAAGAAUUUCAUAUCUAAUAGAAAGUGAGGAAUGAACAUUUGGGUUAUCUACGAAAAAGAAUAUUUUGAAUUAUUGUAUAAUUAUCAACAGUUUUUUGAUAGAUGAAAUAAGUUGUAAGUGUGUAAAUAUUCUUUUAUUCUGGACUUUAAUUACUUAAUAAUACUAUAAUCACCCACUGUUUGUGGGGAAGUUCCAGUUGAGGAGUCUUGCUCAACGCAUUCUGACUUAGUAUACUUCAUCUGGUCGAUUGGUCCUGCUUUUCCAUUCGUACAGUCAUCGGCAGACGAAAUUAAUUUAACACAUAGUCGUGGUAGUGCGGGCUGUGAGUUGUUUAUAUUCGUAGAAGAUGGUGGCGGAGCUGGGAUCUCACCAUAGAACACUAUACCAGGAGAUACGGGACAACCAACAGGCACACGUUUAGCUUCGUUGGCUCCUACGGAUUUUCAAUCAUUUAAAAAACAAUUAGUAACUGUUCUAAGAAUCUAUAUUUUAGUAUACUGACAUCUGCGGCGUAGUCGCAUCGACACUAACCUGUGUACACUGUCUUUUACUGCCGACCGCUUUUUCCUCCAGACAUCUGAUCCUGAAGUUGGAUGUGCCCAGUCUUUAGAUAAUAAAAGACCUACGGAUCCAUCUUCAAAAUGUCGGAAUCCUUCUGGUACUCUAUGCUCAGCAUUCGCCAUUCUCUGUGAUAGACCAGCACACGAACGGUUCGCACUAAUUAUCAUUUGGAUCAAUGGUGGGUCUUCAUUGAGCAUUGAGUACAGCUGAGGCAAUGAUUGGAUGCAUUUUAUGUUGCUAUGUACCGCAAUUAUCGCAGUAUUUCAUAAAAAAACUGCUGUCAGAACGGACGUGAUCAAUUAUACAAGUUGCGAUUAUAUUUAAGGGAGUAAACGGAUGAACUUAAUGUUAUAGCGCUAUUACUGCAGCAUUGGAUGAAUGUAACGAAACAAAAAGUCCACGAAUAAAAUAUAGGAUGCGCAAAACUUAAGAGGACAAUCGAUUGCUUCACAUGAUGACAUGUGCUUAGUUGUACUUUCAUAAACUGCUGUCAGAACGGACGUGAUCAUAUCUAUACAAGUUGCGACGAUAUUUUAAGACGAGGAGAGCUUUUCCGGUGCAACGCAGAAUCCGCCCCCUCGCCAUUGUACUGUAACAAUAUAUAAUAUUCAUUAUACGUACCUUCAUCGUCGCAACUGCCGCCUCCGGUUUUG